rnacentral:tRNA from 2 species
GGUGAGGUGGCCGAGCGGUUGAAGGCACCGGUCUUGAAAACCGGCAGGCGUUAACGCGUCUCGUGGGUUCGAAUCCCACCCUCACCGCCA